AUUGAACGCUGGCGGCAGGCCUAACACAUGCAAGUCGAGCGGAUGAGAAGAGCUUGCUCUUUGAUUCAGCGGCGGACGGGUGAGUAAUGCCUAGGAAUCUGCCUGGUAGUGGGGGACAACGUUUCGAAAGGAACGCUAAUACCGCAUACGUCCUACGGGAGAAAGCAGGGGACCUUCGGGCCUUGCGCUAUCAGAUGAGCCUAGGUCGGAUUAGCUAGUUGGUGAGGUAAUGGCUCACCAAGGCGACGAUCCGUAACUGGUCUGAGAGGAUGAUCAGUCACACUGGAACUGAGACACGGUCCAGACUCCUACGGGAGGCAGCAGUGGGGAAUAUUGGACAAUGGGCGAAAGCCUGAUCCAGCCAUGCCGCGUGUGUGAAGAAGGUCUUCGGAUUGUAAAGCACUUUAAGUUGGGAGGAAGGGCAGUAAGUUAAUACCUUGCUGUUUUGACGUUACCGACAGAAUAAGCACCGGCUAACUCUGUGCCAGCCGCCGCCGUAACAC
rnacentral:rRNA from 1 species